rnacentral:lncRNA from 1 species
CAGACGUUUUUUUAGAGUUAUUUUUAAACAAGUCGGUAAAUAAAUUAUGUAAGUAUUUUUAACAAAUAUAUUCUAUUUUUAAUUUUAUUUCUCAUUCGAGAAAAUUUUAAAUUACUUAACCACUUUUUUUACUACCGACGUAUUCAAAUUUUUACGCUUUAAGAUAAUUUUAAAUUCGAAGCGUAUAGUGUGAGUACUUUUUUUUCUGUCUGUGAACAAAUUUUCUACCAAAAACUUUAAGUUAACACGAUGUUUUCAAUGAGAAAUAUUACUCUUAUACAAAAAUAAAAGAAGAUCGAUUUUGUUCCUUUUAAUAUUUCGCCACUGAAAGAGUAAAUCGUUUUUCGACGUCNCAUUUCUUAAAGUAAAUUUUCUCUAUUUGGUGCAUUGAGGAGGUGAGUUUUUAAUUUUCCAAUGGGUUUUCGAAAUAAUUAGGGAAUAUCCGAAAGAAAAUUAUAUAUAAAAUGACAAAUAUUUAUGGCACACAGCGGCGUGAAUGUUUUCGUUGUUUUUAUUAAGUUAACACGAUGUUUUCUAUGAGAAAUAUUACUCUAAUCCAAAAAUAAAAGAAGAUCGAUUUUGUUCCUUUUAAUAUUUCGCCACUGAAAGAGUAAAUCGUUUUUCGACGUCCAUCGUAGUUUUCGUAAUAAUUAAGAAAAGCCAACAAAUUAAAAUUGAUUAAUAUUUAUGGCAACGCAGUGUCCCGGUUUAAUUAUUUUAAUAUGAUCAAGUUAUGUUUUCUAUCAAAAACAUUACUUCAAUCGAAAAAUUACAAGAGAUCUAUUUUAUUUCUUUGAAUGUGUAGCCACUGAAAAUCAGAGUCGUUUUUAUAUAAUAAAAGGGUAGUGUAAUACAUUAUACUACCCAUCUCAUGAAACUAUCUUUAAAAUCCUGUAUAAAUGAGCUGUUUAAGUUUGAUUAUAUCUAUGAGUGUUUUCUGUUUUCCAAUUAUAUUGACAAAUGAUUUUUAUAAUAAAUGUUAGACAUUUCUAGUAAUUAUUGAGUUUGGCAGUUUAUAAUAAUUUAAAUGGUUAUUUUUGACAGGUCUAACAUGAAAAUAAAUACUCGAAUAAUUCUGUUGAUUAUUUUCAUAUUUUUUAAUUUCAAUAAAUAUUUUGCUUACGGAGACAGUACUAAAAAUGUUAUGAAAAUUACAUUGCCAGCGUAUGCAGUUGCAAGUGAAUCAUUUAUUUUAAGUAAUUUCAGUCGUUGUCGUGAACAUUUGGAUAUUCUUGUCGAGGCCAUUAACAACAGAAAAGCAUGGAGCCUGAAAAGUAAGACAAAUUUCUAAUGAGGUUUUAUUUAAAAUACUAUUUUAAAUAAUUAAAUUAUCUAAAGUUGUUUUUAAAGCUUAACAAAUUUUAUAAAAUAAAAAGGAAGGUUUCGAUUUCAAAAGAAGGUAUGUGGAGGAGAAUGUGUUUUAAGAUUCUGAGGGGCAGGAUUUCGGCGCUGAUAUCGGGAAAGGAGGUUGUGAUGACGGGGUAUGGAUUACUGAUAGCGUUAUUUGGAGAGGAGUUUUCGCGAGAGGUUUUGAUUUCAGGAGAAUGUAUGUGGAGGAACAUAUGUUUAAAGAUAUCGGUUCGCGUUAUCGGCGAGAGGUUUGUGGUAAGUGUCUAUAAUAGUCGCAAAGAAUACUUAUUUUUUCGCUGUGUGUGUGUUCGAAUGUGAUUUUUUUUGAAACUCUUCGUUAAAGAUUUAAUUAUUAUAAUUGUAUUAUUAUUACUGAUAUUAUAUAUACUACUAAAUAAAUAAAA